GGGGCUAUAGCUCAGUAGGUAGAGCGUUUGCAUGGCAUGCAAAAUGUCAGCGGUUCAAUUCCGCUUAGCUCCA
rnacentral:tRNA from 1 species